rnacentral:rRNA from 1 species
CGGAGACGAGUAGAGUGGCGCACGGGUGAGUAACACGUAGAUAACCUGCCCUUCAGCCCGGGACAACCUUCUGAAAAGGGGGCUAAUACCGGAUAAUACCUAUAGUCGAGUGGCUUAAGGUUGAAAGAUUUAUCACUGAAGGAUGGGUCUGCGUACCAUUAGUUUGUUGGUGGGGUAACGGCCUACCAAGACGACGAUGGUUAGCGGGUCUGAGAGGAUGAUCCGCCACACUGGAACUGAGACACGGUCCAGACUCC